CCGGCGUGGGGUCUGCGCGUCAGCGAAAGAGAGGAAAAGGAGAGGGGAGGGAAGCAGGCCGCGUGCGUGGGCUAGCCAGGCCUCGCGCGAGGGGAGCUGGGGUUGGUGUGGGCCGAGCGCUGGGGAGGCUGGGAGGGAGUUUGGCUGGGCCAAGCUGGGAGUUUGUUUUCUCUUUCUCUUUUUCUUUUAUUUCUUUUCUUUUAUUCCAAAUCCAUUUUAAAAAAUCACUUUGAAAUACUUUUAAACUUUAGUCAAACCACUCAAGUCAACAAAAAUUAAUGCAAAAGCAUGAAUGCACAACAAGUGGCUAAGUCCUAUGAUAAAUUUUAUUUUAAUAAAAAAUAUUAUUUUCCUAUGUUUCAUGAGCACAAAAAGUCAUAAAUAAAUCGUUUUCACCUAUUUUUAAAAUGAGCAAAAUUUUGGGUGUUACAAAUCUACCCUCCUUAAAAUGAAAACACAGGAUAAAGAUCUUGAUAACUCUUUUAACUUUAUAACUUGCAUACCAAAGAUAAACUCAAAUUUUUUUUCCAUAGAGUGUCUAUUAUUCAUAAUUGAUCAAAGUCCAUCUUGACUAUCAACUUUUUGACUUAUACAACUCAAAAGACAUGAUGACUUAGCAUGGAUUUGCCUCCUCAGGUAGGAGUUGACCACCGUAAUACUCAAUUCUUUUCCCUGAUGGUGCGGUUAAGAAAAUUUUCCACUAGGUAGCAUAGAUCACUCCUUUGUGUGCACAUAACCAUCCAUUGCCAAAAACCAAAGGAAUGUCGAGUGACUCUAGCAUAAUGAGGUUUACUAUGAAGUUCUCCUUGCUUAUGACCAAAUUGAUAUUCAAGCAAACCUGAUCUACCUAUAUUUCUCCCAUUGGGGUUCGAACUAACAAGGCUUCCUGGUUGGACACUACACUCUCUGUCAUCAAGUGACCAGUGUCAGUAACUCAGCAAAGAUAGUUGAUCGUAACCAUAGGAUAUCUCCGAAGACAAUUAUCACUUCAAGAUAGUUUUAAAAUGCAUCAUCCCAUGAUAUCAAAGUACUACCCCCCUUAAGACCAGGUUGAUUGGGGGACACUAGGGACUAGUUCUCCUAUCCUUUUUGUACACUACACAUCAUAGUCCUUUAUAUUCGUUGUACCGAGUCUCUUGAUUCAAGGUUAGUUUCAUCACUAAGUUCCCAUUAUCGGUACCUUUAUCAUGGUUAAGUUGCUUCACUCUCACUUUGUACAUAUAGCUUUAUAGGCUUUGGUGUCAUCUGAUCCUCAUAACAUAACUCUCAAUCCAUGAGUAUCAGCAAUGACAUAUAUUCCCUUUAAUAUUCCCUGAAUGGGAUGAUAUCUUGAAUCAAUACCAAUUUACCAAGCGCUUGUGAUCCUCACAUAUGAUCCAACACUAGCCAAUCCGUCUCAUUGUAAGUACUUUAAUUGGGCUACCCCCUUAAAAGGGUCAACUAGGGGACACAAGAAAGUUAGCUUGCAUAUUUUCCAGACAAGUUAACUAACAUUGAGAACCUCUGACAUUCCAAAAAACUUAUGUGCAAUAGAGCAAACAGGUAUCCUGAAAUUUUCUCGUGAUAUGAAAAACACCAGUGUAGUAAUAUGGACAUAACUCUUAUUCUGUGAAUCCAAUAGAGUUGUGGCUUGUACCGUUAGAAAACUUAUGAAAUUACCAGCAUCUUUCCUGUAGAAGACCUACUUAGGUUCUGUCUUUAAGCUCAGGUAAAACAACCAAACUUAAUAUCCAUCCUGAAAAUGUUUCAGCAAAAGUGCAGCAGCUUCCAGAAGUUAUAUCCUGAGCUACUUAACUCAUCUGGAGAUGAUACUUACAUAUUUGAAAAGCUUAGAAAAUCCUCUACAACCUUUGUAUACAACUUUUUUCCAGAUUCUGUCUUUAACUUGGCCGAAAAUAGGAAAUGCCAGAUCUGUCCAGAUUUUGAACCAGAACAGAAACAUCCAAGUGUAAAUGUCAUAUCUCAGGUUCUACUUAUCCAAUUGAGUUCCAGUUUAUACUGUUGGAAAGCUUAGAAAAUUGUUUUCAAUUUUUCUAUAGAACACUUUUCAAAAUUCUAUAGCUAUAUUUAUCUCAAACAGUAAUCAACCAAAACUAAUCUAGAUUCUUGGCAGCACACAGUGCCGGCCCUGGAGAGGUGCCGGAGGUGCGACCGCUGAGGGCCCAUGGAAGGAGGGGGCCCAGACCCAUGUAUACACAUACCCCAUCCCUUAGUAUAUACUGUGUAUGCGAGCGCCGCAAGCCGUCAUACGAAGAGACGGAGCGAGUCACGCACGGAAGCCACAGACUCAUGCAGAUCGCAGACACACACACAUGGAGCCGCCGCCGGCCGUGCACUCAGAAUCACCACUCACGGAGGCACGCAACGGCCAGACAUUGCGCACGGCGAAGGCAGCGUCUUGGCAAUCAGGGCCCAGUGCCGAUUACUGCAACAGUGCAACCGAUUGCACUGUUCAUCAACAAUCAACAGGUCAUCAUCCGAUGAGGCAUAGCCCCUAGGUAAUUUAUUCCUUGCAUCGUUUUUUUAAUCUAAAUUAAUUAUUUCAGACUUCUAUUACUCUAGGUACUUAUAGUCAUAUUUUUCUUUUUAGGUGCUAGAAUCUUAUGAUGUUGCCUAAGAAACAUUUGUGGGGGCUCAGAAAAGAAAACGGAAAAAACUAGCAGACCAAUUUGAGAUCAACUAUGUCACAAGAAAGGUUAAAUGGAUUGGCUAUGUGCACCAUUAAGAGGGAUAUCUUGGACACCAUUGAUCUUAAUACCGUCCUUGAUGAUUUUGCAUUAAGAAAUGCCUGAAGAAGUAUCUUUUUGUGAGAAGCAAUGGAUAUUAUAGAGUUCUAUUCUUCCUUAAGGUAAUCAUAUUAGUUUUAGUCUAUUUUUGUUCCUUGAUAUCAUGAAACAUUAAAUGAAAAAUAUAUUAUUGGAUUUGUUUUUACUUUGCAAGAAAAAUUAGCACUUAUAUAUAUUAUAAGAUUUAUAUAUAGUCUAGAGGGACCGUCACGACGAACUCGCUAGAGGGCCCUCAAAAUCCUAGGACCGGCACUGGCAGCACAGUUGUAUCAUCUUGUGAUUUUUGUAACUUCUAAACCAUAAUAGCUAUGAGGGUGAUUCUUGCGGUCAGAGAAAGAUCUUGAAGUCCACUUUCAUCCAAAAGUUUCUCAUGAUUUUUGUUCAUCCGAGAACAGAGAUAUAAUCUGAUAAAGAGAGGAUACUCCGGAAAGGCAGGAUAAGAUAACAAGAGAAAAACCAAAACCCAACUAUUUAUUUCACUAAUCCUUAUACCUUAGACCUAUAACUAAAUGAAAUUAUGGAGGAAACCCACAAGAUCAUUACACUCAUUACAAAGAUCCAAAUCAAGCAUAAGCAUAAUGACAAACCAACUAAGCAUUAAAGGUUCACACUUCACUCAACUUGCGAUACUUUCGUUUUCUUCAUAGGGAGGGUAAAGAUCCUAAAACUUAUAUUUCAAAGACGCAAGAAGAUGGUAACAAAAGGUUUUAAUAGCAUACCAAAUCGAGGAGUAAAGGUAAGAACGAGUACUUUUAAAAUAAGCAACAAGGUAGAGACAAAUAGCAAAGAUAGAGAUAUAGUAUGGAUGAUAAUACCAAGAUUUAUAGAUAUGCACCAUAUGUGAGUUUUAGAAGUCAAAUCCCACAUAUAGCUACAAAUAAAGGGUAAUAUCAAAGGACAAUGCAUAAAUAUAUAACGUACUUAGUAUAAAAGAGAUAACCUUAAGUAUCAAACAGCGGAUAGACAAUCUCCAAACAUUAGGUAUUAACUUCACUCUACAGGAUCCAACUGACUGGUGGAUCACAAGCCCAAAACUUCUCCUGAGGUGUGGGGGAAAUUGCAAGAGUGAGCACAUAUUGUACUCAACAAGUAUAACCAGGGGUUCAUGAGGCUCAAUAAGCUGACACUGGUUUGACUGCAUUUAGCUUUUAUAUGUAGAUAGCAUAUUUAUAUUUAGAUAGCAAUUAUCAAGGUAGCAUAAUUAAUUCCCGUAACCACAUGAUCAAUGUAUACAAGAAUUAAGAAUAACACAUAUAAACAACAAAAUAAACCAUCAUUUAUCAUUAAUCAUAUUCAUCAGUGUCCAUCUAUUCCGUCAAUUUUCCGGGAUGCCCGUAUCAGUGGGCACGGCUAGUAUACCAGAUUUAACACUCUGCAUAGGUUGUACAUCUUUACCCAUGAGUCAUGAUUUACCCUUUCGCCCGAGGUAGCUAAUCUCUUAACCCCCUUCCAAGGGAGGUCGGCAGGGAUCACUAUGAAGCCUUUCAAAAGUUCAUCUAACAUGUUAGGGGCCGCAAGGUUUCCUUUGCGCGCAGAUAUAGAGCCCCCCUUCCGAUGGCACAAUGACUCGCAGCCUAUACACAUACAGAUAGAGGCCACACUAUACCCAAAACGGUUCAGCCCCUCCGCCCUUUCGGGUAACCUCUAACAAACUAGAAAAGUUCUUCAUACUGAGCUGAAGCCAUAGCCAUAUAGCCCUCAUGGUUGUACGAGUUGUCCCAGCUUUUGCCAAGGGAUAAGUCCUUAUGGAGGGUCAAGAUUAAUCCAGCAAAAGCCAGAGUUCUUUCCACCCUUUUUAUUCAAGUUGCUAGAAAGCUUAUUUUAUUGUUUAUUGUUUAUCCAAAAAUUCAUGUUACAAGAUCAUGUAUUAUAUUCAAGCACUAGCAAGAACUACCUAAAUGUAUAUCCAAAUAGGUAACAUGGAAUUCAGGAUAACAAUCAUCUAUGAUUUUGCUAAGGUCAUCAAGGUGGACACAUGCAUAUGAUAUAUAUUGUAUUAAUUGUGUAUAGGUAACAAGGAUAGUCCCAAGUUAUACUUGCCUUGAUCAAAGCUCUCCUGAGCCUGCUGCUGGUCGUCAAAAGCUUGACCUUGAUCACCAACGUAUCGCUCACCGUCUAUACUCGAUCAUCAAUCAACAACACGAAAUCCAAUGUAGACAAUCAUACACGAAGCAAACAAGCUAUAAUUAGAACAAUACAACAAACAGUGGUAAAAGAAAUAUAAAAGUUUAUCAAAAUAUUCUACGCAGCGCUACGAUCACAUAAACGUAAAGUUCACGAAAAUCGGAAUUAAAAAGUAGAAGAUAUGAAUUUUCAAAGAUUUUAUAUAGAAAAGUAAUUAAUUAAAUAGGUUCACGAAAUUAAAAAGUUUCAAACUGGUAGAACAGUGUGACUAUCUUGUAGAGCUCGUGAAAACGAACCCAACGCAAUUUGAAUGGGUCAAAACGGAAUUAAAAUAAAUAUUUUAUAGCCAAAACAAGUUCAGUGGCAUUUUAGUAAAUACUGAAAACGUAUUUUGAAACAAGCCGGCAGACUUUACGUCUUCCAACUCAGAAAGCGUAUUUCAUCCCGUACGUUUUGGACCGCGGGUUUCAUAUCUAAAAACGUCAGGGGCUCUUUAAUAAAAUCUACCCCGAAGGGGUAUGUUCUAAUCUGGCGCGUUGGGUUUAGAUCGAACGGCUCUGGAUCAAUCCCAAGAGGGAAGAGGGAUGCCGGCCGGCUACAGAGCCUCCGGCGGUGGUGCCAUGGCCGGAGGGCCUUGCUCCUCGCCGGAGUUGGUCGGGAAAGUGUUCCGGUGCACCGUUUAACAAAUCAAGAGCAUGGGGAGCAAGAGGAGGGAAUGGCGAACUCACCCCGAGGCAAAAUCGAAGGCAAGGACAACUCGAAGAUGUCCUACGUCAUGAUUUGGCGGAUCCUGGGUCCCUGCGAGGUUCGGCGGUGAAGUGAGAGCAGUAGAGACCGAGAGAGAGUACAGAGAGGAUCUCGGCAGCUUCUUUACCUCGGCACGUGGUUGCGAGCGAGAAUUGAGCACCCCGGAUCGAAAACCAUGGCGGUGGCUUCUCAGUUUAACGGCGAGAUCUGAACUGCGGUGGCUAAAGCGGCUCAGGCCUCUUGCGGAUGGGGAAAAGGGUCACGAGAGAAAGCUCGGAGCUUUAAAGGGAUUCGGUGGCGCGUGGGGAAAGAAAUCCCGAAGAAAUUGGCGUGAUUGACGCUGGGGCUCGUGUCCGGCUCCGUUUCGAUCGGAGGAAGAAGAAAGGAAGGCCACUGACCUGUGGACCCGAUACGUCAGCGUCUCCCGGCGUGGGGUUUGUGCGUCAGCGAAAGAGAGGAAAAGGAGAGGGGAGGGAAGCAGGCCGCGCGCGUGGGCUAGCCAGGCCUCGCGCGAGGGGAGCUGGGGUUGGUGUGGGCCGAGCCCUGGGGAGGCUGGGAGGGAGUUUGGCUGGGCCAAGCUGGGAGUUUGUUUUCUCUUUCUCUUUUUCUUUUAUUCCUUUUCUUUUAUUCCAAAUCCAUUUUAAAAAAUCACUUUGAAAUACUUUUAAACUUUAGUCAAACCACUCAAGUCAACAAAAAUUAAUGCAAAAGCAUGAAUGCACAACAAGUGGCUAAGUCCUAUGAUAAAUUUUAUUUUAAUGAAAAAUAUUAUUUUUCUAUGUUUCAUGAGCACAAAAAGUCAUAAAUAAAUCGUUUUCACCUAUUUUUAAAAUGAGCAAAAUUUUGGGUGUUAC
rnacentral:lncRNA from 1 species